rnacentral:lncRNA from 1 species
CAGAAUUUAACCUUUAUUUGUAAAAAUCAUGAUUAUGAAAACUCUAUUUAAACAAUCUAUGAGAAUAAGUGAAUUCAGCAAGGAUAUAAGAUAAAUCAGUUGUAUUCCUGUAUGUCAGCAAUCAACAAUCGGAAGAUGCAACUUACAAAUCAGUAUCAUUUGCUAUAGCUUAAAAAACAUUAAAUACCUUAAAAACUAAGAAAAUACUAUGUAAAGACCUAUACAAAGGUAGGUCUUUCACUAAGAGAAGCUUGAGAUCUAUAGAAGUGGAGGAUGUAUGUAUUAGAAGACUAAAUAUUGUCAAGAUGCCUGUUUUCCCUAAAUUGGUUUGUGAAUUCAGUGCCAUCCUAGUCAAAAUUUAGACAAGCUGAUUGUAAAGUUCAUAAGGAAAUGCAGAGGACCUAGGGGGAAAAAUCAAUUCUGAUAAAGAACAAAGCUAAAAGAUUGCACUGCUUGAUUUCAAGACUUCCUAUCAAGCUACAGUAAUCAAGACAGUGUGGUUUUGCACAGGGAUAGACAUAUAGGUGGAUCAAUGUGACAGAAUAGAGGAGUCCAGAAAUAGACCCACACAUAGGUAGAUGGCCAAUUGAUUUUUGACAAAGGUACAGAGGCCAUUCAAAAGAAAGGAUAGUCUUUUCAAUAAAUUGUAAUGGAACAACAGGAUAUCCAAAUGCAAAAAAAAAAAAGGUACCUUAUACUGUAUACAGAAACUAACUCAACUAACUCAAAGUAGAUUAUAGACCUAAGUUUAAAUUCUAAAAUCAUGAAACUUCUGGCUGGGGGCGGGGGGAGAAACCCACAGGAGAAAGUUUUUAUGACCUUAGGUUAGGAAAUGAUUUCUUAGAUAUGGCACCAAAAGCGCCAUCCUUAAGAGAAAAGAUGGAUGUCAGACUUCAUAAAAUUUAAUGAUUUAUUCUUUAGAAGAAAGUGUUACGGGCCUGGGAUUGUGGCUCAGUGGUGGAGCACUUGCCUAGCACGUGUGAGGCACAGGGUUCAAUCCUCAGCACCACAUAAAAAUAAAUAAAAGCAUUUUGUCCAUCUGCAGCUACAAAAAAACAAAAACAAACAAAAAAAAGAAGUGUUAACGAUAGUGAAAAGACAAGCCACAGACUGGAAGGAACCUUUGCAAAGCAUAUGUACACACAAACACACAGACACACACACAUAUACACACAUACAAAUUCUUAUAUCCAGAAAUAUAGGAAGAACUCUUAAAACUCAAUAAUAUGUAAAACCCAAUUUAAAAACAGGCAGAUUUAAAUAGACAUUUUAAGAUAUACAGAUGGCAACUAAGCACAUGAAAGAUGUUCAAUAUCAUUAGUCAUCAGAGAAAUGAAACUCAAACCACAGUGAAGUACAUAUUUACUAGAAUGUCUUCCAGCCAAAACAAAAAAUGGGAAAUGCUGUUAAUGCUGACUGCAGGGGCUGGGGUUGUGUCUCAGUGGCAGAGCACUUGCCUCGUACAUGUGAGGGACUGGGUUCGAUCCUAAGCACCACAUAAAAAUAAAUAAACAAAGAUAUUAAAAAAAAAAUACUGAGUACUGGUGAACCUGUGGAGCAAAUGAAACUUGCAUCUUGCUUGUAGGAAUGCAGAGUGGUGCAGCUACUUUGAAAUGAAGACUGACAGUUUCUUAUAAACUGCAUUUGAAAAACAGUCUAUUAAAUCUGUACUUCUAACAUGACCCUGCAGUCCCACUUUCUAGGUAUUACCCAGCUGAAUAAGUGCAUACAAAAAUUUGUAUGUGAAUGUUUACAGUGGCUCGGCUCAUGAUCUCCAGGAGCUGCAAACAACCCAGAUGUCAUUCAACUGGUGAAUGAAAAAGCACCUGCAUUGGGAUACUACUCAGCAGUAGAAAGGAACGAACCAGUACAGCAUGGGUGUAUCUCGAACACUCCAUGCACAGUGAAAAGAAAUCAGAAAAUACUGAAAAGUGUCUGCUUCCAUACAUAUGACAUUCUUCAAAAGGCCAAACCAAGAUGGAAAGAAAAUGGGUUGGUGGUUGCCAGGGCCUGGGGUGAGGAUGAGUUAACCAACAAAGGGCACAAGGAACUUUCUGGGGUUGGUGGAAAUGUUCUGUAUCUUGGUUGUGGUAGUGGGUACACAAAUGUAUGAAUUUUUGAAUGUGUGGAUCUAAGCAGUUUGAACAGGUGAUUCAAAAGAAGAUUCCAUAGAUGACAUGGAAGGUGGGGAGGUGCUCCACAUCUUCACUUGUCAGGGAACUGCAGAUUGAAACCACAGUGAGGUGCACUCUGUUAGAAAGUCUGAGAUGAGCAAGACUACCAGCAUUGAACAUCAACUAGACCUUGGCGCAGCGUAGCCCUCAUGGGCACCGGUGGAUAUUGAGUGGUGCAGCCUCUUUGGAGGACUGUUGUCCAUUUCCCCCCUAUAAUUAAACGUAAUCUAUGCUAUGAUCCAGCAAUCCUACUUUUAAUUUACCAUAGAGAAAUGAAAAUAUAUGUUCACAAAAUGACUUAUUAGAAUGUGUAUAUGAAGCCCCAAACUGGGAACAGCCCAAUGUCCAACAACUGAAAAGUUAAUAAAAAGAAUGAAUGACAAAUACAACUAUAUGGAUGGAGCUCAAAGAAGUACAUAUUGUGUGAGUGCAUUUAGGUAGAAUCCGGGAACAGACGAAACCAAUCCAUGGUGACUAACUGGUUUCUUGAGCAUACGGAGGUGAGUUGAGAGAAGCAAGGCAGUUUCUAUGGUGUGGUGGAAAUGCACUGAAUCCCAUUUUGGAUGGUAAUGCAUACACUUGUUAAAACUAUUGCCCAGAUUAAGAUCUGUACAUUUUGAUGUGUUUUAGUUAC